AGGGGCGGGGGGCGUGCUUACACUGCAAGUCGAGCGAAGCGUUUCUGCGGAAUUUUUCGGAAGGAAGCGGGAAUGCCUUAACGGCGGACGGGUGAGUAACGCGUGGGCAACCUGCCCCUUACAGGGGGAUAACAGUUAGAAAUGACUGCUAAAACCGCAUAAGCGCACAGCAGCGCAUGCUGCAGUGUGAAAAACUCCGGCGGUACGGGAUGGGCCCGCGUCUGAUUAGCUUGUUGGCGGGGUAACGGCCCACCAAGGCAGCGAUCAGUAGCCGAUCUGAGAGGAUGGCCGGCCACAUUGGGACUGAGACACGGCCCAAACUCCUACGGGAGGCAGCAGUGGGGAGUAUUGCACAAUGGGGGAAACCCUGAUGCAGCAACGCCGCGUGAGUGAAGAAGUAUUUCGGUAUGUAAAGCUCUAUCAGCAGGGAAGAGAAUGACGGUACCUGACUAAGAAGCCCCGGCUAACUACGUGCCAGCAGCCGCGGUAAUACGUAGGGGGCAAGCGUUAUCCGGAUUUACUGGGUGUAAAGGGAGCGUAGACGGCUGGCCAAGUCUGAAGUGAAAGCCCGGGGCUUAACCCCGGAACGGCUUUGGAAACUGGCCGGCUGGAGUGCUGGAGAGGCAGGCGGAAUUCCUGGUGUAGCGGUGAAAUGCGUAGAUAUCAGGAGGAACACCGGUGGCGAAGGCGGCCUGCUGGACAGUAACUGACGUUGAGGCUCGAAAGCGUGGGGAGCAAACAGGAUUAGAU
rnacentral:rRNA from 1 species